CGAAGUCCUGACACCACAGAUUAACAAAGCCCAGCAAAAGUGGAAAGUCCAUGGAAAAAGCCAAAGACCUGCAUCAUUUUUACAGGCCACAGCAAAUGCUGAACCAUUUGAAAGCAAGCCUUUUUUAAUUUUUACCAUAAAAUUGACCCUUUGAAACCAAAGUUAAGAUCCGUUUUACAAUCCAUUCAGCCAACAGGAUGUGUAAAGCACAAGAAAAAAAGAGAAGUCAUUCUCUGAGGACCAUGCUACACAAUCUAGCAGUUGUGAAGAAUUUUAUGAUGCAAACUCUGAUGCAGGAAGAGACCGCACAGGCCAAGCCAUCGAACAGUACAGGAUAGGAUUUUGUGACACCAGGAACC